GGCCUCGUAGUUCAACUGGAUAGAAUAUCAGAUUUCGGCUCUGAGGGUUGAGGGUUCAAAUCCUUCCGAGGUCACCA
rnacentral:tRNA from 1 species